UACGUAGGGUCCAAGCGUUGUUCGGAAUUACUGGGCGUAAAGCGCGCGUAGGCGGGUUUGUAUGUCGAUUGUGAAAUCCCCGGGCUCAACCUGGGAACUGCAGUCGAAACUGCAAAUCUUGAAUGUCUGAGAGGAUGGCGGAAUUCCCGGUGUAGUAGUGAAAUACGUAGAUAUCGGGAAGAACACCUGAGGCGAAGGCGGCUAUCUGGCGGUACAUUGACGCUAAGGCGCGAAAGCGUGGGGAGCAAACAGG
rnacentral:rRNA from 2 species